GGUCAUAUGGAGACCACUAAAGAAACCAAAUUCGGCGUACAAAGGGAAUGGGUCAAACGCGUUUAGAGCCGGUAAAAAUUCUAUUUUUACCACCUCCGCAGUUAGAACAAUGCCUUUGGAUGACCUGAAACAAGACUUUAUCGAAGUAAGAGAUGCUCUUGGCGACGUCCGACGGGGUUGUCACUUCAUCUUUUGAUUGAAGGGGAAGAACGGAAAUUUAAGUAUUUUAGGAGGUUGCUAUUAUUUGUGAAUGCACU